ensembl:lncRNA
AUUUUUAAAAAUAUGUAUUCUAUUCAUGUGGUCUGCUUGUCAGUGAGACAGACUUUUGCUUACUAUGUUCCUUUAUAACAAUGCUAGCCACUUCCUCGAUUCUUUGGGAGUCUGCUCUACGCAAGAACUGUCAGUGUCGGUGAAAGAGGGCUGCCUGUCUGGGUCCUAAAUGCAGCUGCCCUGGGUGGGAGCAGUUCAGAGACAGCGACAGUAGUGGGAGGUAAGCGGGGCUAGCAGAUACGAGGGAGAAUCCGGAGUGCUUCCAACAGGAGUGCCUUGAGAAUUUCUCUCCAGAGCUCGAAGAAACAAGCAAACUAAAAAUGGCAAUUUCCUUUGCAGUUUUAUAUACCCCGGGAGCUGCUUUGAGAGUAAGAAAGGCAACCCUCAAAUGUGUUUCGACUUGAAAAUUCCUUUCAGACAUGUGGCAUCUCAUUUAUUCUCUUUUUUCCCCCCAAUGUUUGUUAGAUUUCAGGCAGAAUGUCUUACAAAAUGUCCUAGAACCAGAUUAUGACUUAAUCUAAAACAGCUGAGGGAAGACAGAGGCGGCAUGAGAGCAGGGCAGCCACAGAGCAGAUCGGCAAAGUGGAGGGGGAGGGUGCUUUGAAUUUUUUUUUUUUUUUUUUUAAACUCAAACAGCAUCUACGUGUCGAGCAUUGUGGAGAACUGAGAUCAGAGCAAAGUCAAGCGCCAGCAUCCGUCCCAGGAGGGGGUCAGGCAAGAAUGGAAUAGUUAGGCCUGUCCAGCAUCAUGGCAGCCCCAGUCACACCCUUGGUCACCUUCAGCUGGCCACCCACCCAGAGACCAGGCUCCCUUAGACUAGCUGGGUUCCAAGGCGGUCAGACUGGGCAGAGGUGUGACCUCAGCCUUCUGUCUCUCAUAUUGAGACCCUGCUUUCAGAAAGGGCCAGCUGUUGGCGCCCAGGUGGAGUUGAGUGUCAUGGUCCCUCGCAGUAAGCUUCCUGAUCUGGAGCAUCCCAGUGGAAUAUUUAGGAGCCUCCGGGGGCUUGACAGCUGGAAUUCUGCAUCCCGAGAGCUAUCUGAGGCUACCCUCAGCCUCUAAAUAAGCUGCGCUAGGGAGCCUUCCACUUUUUCACGGGAAAUUAGGAAAAUAACCAAUGUUGAAAACACGACAUGCACUCUGGGGCCCUGUUGUUCUCUUCUGGGCUCCAGGACCGGAUCCCUUUUACCGAAGUUAGAAAAGAGCUGUAUCCCGAGCCUUCACUGUCCCUGUGUGAGGACUGACCUCCAGGUGCAGCGUACCCCGUUAACUGGGCAUGAAUCUGAGGUCAGUUUCCUUUAUCGUUUCUUCCACAAUAUGAUGAUUGCUAAAACACAUGUUUUGAAAAAUUUCAGAAGUCUGUCUUUCCUGUUAACGGGAGGAUCAUGCACACACGUAGUCCAAGGUUGACUGUGUGAGUGUGUUUGGUGUUGAGUUUUGGAAUUACGUGUGUGUCACUCCCCCACCCUGAGGAGAGGACCUCAUGGCCCACUGCUCAGGACAGGUAUGCCCAAUCUCAGGGUGACAUUUCAGGUGGCUUCUGAACUUACGAUAGGGACAGACUUCACCCCUCCCUGAAGAACCCCACUUAAAGAAUAAGGAACACUUGAAUCUCUUGGAAGGAGUAAAGCAGUCAGACAGCCAGUCCCAUGUUUUUGCUGAUGCCACGGGCUGGCGGGGGAAAUAAAAAUGUUACCCUUUCUCUCUAAAAGGAGAAACAAAACCCUGACAGCUCUGAACUCUGAUUUCCCUUUUCCUGCUGUAUUUGGGAACAUUGUGUGAUUAGGCAUAAUGUUUUUUUUAAAAAAAUUAAGCAAAUUUUUUUUUAGAAAUACAGUCUCUGGCAAAGAGGUACAAGAAAGCCAGCCUCUCCUGGAGACUGGGGGAACAGGGCCUGAGGAGGGGAAAAUGAAGUCCUUGUGAAAUCAUGUCUGUCAAGAUCUGAAAGCAGAUGCCCAAGGAACUGAAAAGAGUGGAUUGUAUCUGAUCUAAAUCUUUUGUGGGUAACAUUUUAUGCAGGUUGAAUGAAUGAACUAUUUUCCUCUUGUUUAGUUUUAUUUCUAUGUAUUUUUCUUUGGUGAAUGAUUGGUUCCGAGCCCUCUGCCACACUCCAGAAAUACUUGUGCGGCUGCUUUAAAAAACUGUCUGUCUGGUCACUUACUUCUCUAAAAUUACUUCAUUGCCUGGCAAUCAGUCUUCUCUCGUAUACUUGUCCUAGCACAUGAUGUACACGGGAAAUGUAAACAGAUGUGAAAGAGGACCAGAAAAAUUAGUUAAUAUUAAAAAGAAAUGUAUUGUGCAUUUUGGCUUCACAUGUUUAACUUUUUUUAAGAAAAAAAGUUGCAUGAAUGGAAAAAAAAGUCUGUAUACAGUAUCUGUAAUACAAACUGUCUUAUCUGUUUCAGUUUCUUGCUCAUGCCCCAUACAAACUAGAAUGAAAUAUGGUGCAUGGCCAUAUUCAGACACCUAAAGUCAAGCAGCUGAUAGUUUGGUUUGAAGCACCUCAUCCUUUCUUUCAAAGCGAACACUAUCAUAUUGAGUUCUUACUGAGGAUUUUGUCUAACCGUAUGUUGCCAUGGGUUAACUCUACCAGCUUUCUUCUCAAGAAUCAAAACCAGUUUGAUUUGGGACUCUUCCCCUUUCCAAAUGAAAUAGAGACACAGUACUUAGUUCCCUUGAUGUUUGUAGAUAAUUGCU